rnacentral:rRNA from 1 species
CCUACGGGUGGCAGCAGUGAGGAAUAUUGGUCAAUGGGCGCGAGCCUGAACCAGCCAAGUCGCGUGAGGGAAUACGGCCCUACGGGUUGUAAACCUCUUUUGCCGGGGAGCAACGUGCGCCACGUGUGGCGCCACUUAUGGUCCCCGUAGAAAAAGCCUCGGCUAACUCCGUGCCGGCAGCCGCGGUAAUACGGAGGAUGCGAGCGUUAUCCGGAUUUAUGGGGUUUAAGGGGUGCGUGGGCGGAGCGUUAAGUCAGUGGUCAAGUUUAGGGGCUCAACCCCUUCCCGCCAUUGAAACUGGCGCUCUUGAGUGGAAGAGAAGUAGGCGGAAUGCGUGGUGUAGCGGUGAAAUGCAUAGAUAUCACGCAGAACCCCGAUUGCGAAGGCAGCAUGCUGGACUCCGACUGACGCUGAAGCACGAAAGCGUGGGGAUCGAACAGGAUUAGAUACCCUUGUAGUC